rnacentral:rRNA from 1 species
UUGAACGCUGGCGGCAGGCCUCACACAUGCAAGUCGAGCGGAUGAAGGGAGCUUGCUCCUGGAUUCAGCGGCGGACGGGUGAGUAAUGCCUAGGAAUCUGCCUGGUAGUGGGGGAUAACGUCCGGAAACGGGCGCUAAUACCGCAUACGUCCUGAGGGAGAAAGUGGGGGAUCUUCGGACCUCACGCUAUCAGAUGAGCCUAGGUCGGAUUAGCUAGUUGGUGGGGUAAAGGCCUACCAAGGCGACGAUCCGUAACUGGUCUGAGAGGAUGAUCAGUCACACCGGAACUGAGACACGGUCCAGACUCCUACGGGAGGCAGCAGUGGGGAAUAUUGGACAAUGGGCGAAAGCCUGAUCCAGCCAUGCCGCGUGUGUGAAGAAGGUCUUCGGAUUGUAAAGCACUUUAAGUUGGGAGGAAGGGCAGUAAGUUAAUACCUUGCUGUUUUGACGUUACCAACAGAAUAAGCACCGGCUAACUUCGUG